UACGGAGGGUGCAAGCGUUAUCCGGAUUCACUGGGUUUAAAGGGUGCGUAGGUGGGUCUGUAAGUCAGUGGUGAAAUCUCCGAGCUUAACUUGGAAACUGCCAUUGAUACUAUAGAUCUUGAAUACCGUGGAGGUCAGCGGAAUAUGUCAUGUAGCGGUGAAAUGCUUAGAUAUGACAUAGAACACCAAUUGCGAAGGCAGCUGGCUACAGGGAUAUUGACACUGAGGCACGAAAGCGUGGGGAUCAAACAGG
rnacentral:rRNA from 1 species